UCUUGGAAAUAUCGAACUCUGAGCCUUGUU
rnacentral:piRNA from 1 species